UACGUAGGGUGCGAGCGUUGUCCGGAAUUAUUGGGCGUAAAGAGCUUGUAGGCGGUCUGUCGCGUCUGCUGUGAAAAUCCGGGGCUCAACCCCGGACUUGCAGUGGGUACGGGCAGACUAGAGUGUGGUAGGGGAGACUGGAAUUCCUGGUGUAGCGGUGAAAUGCGCAGAUAUCAGGAGGAACACCGAUGGCGAGGGCAGGUCUCUGGGCCACUACUGACGCUGAGAAGCGAAAGCAUGGGGAGCGAACAGG
rnacentral:rRNA from 1 species